CGUGUAGGCGGCUCAUCAAGUCUGGUGUGAAAUCGCAGGGCUUAACCCUGCAUAUGCGCUGGAAACUGGUGGGCUUGAGUUCUUGAGGGGAAGCUGGAAUUCCAGGUGUAGGGGUGAAAUCUGUAGAUAUCUGGAAGAACACCGGUGGCGAAGGCGAGCUUCUAUCAGAGGACUGACGCUGAGGCGCGAAAGCGUGGGGAGCAAACAGGAUUAGAUACCCUGGUAGUCCACGCUGUAAACGAUGUGCACUAGGCGUGGGGCACGUACGUGUUCUGUGCCGUAGUUAACGUGAUAAGUGCACCGCCGUGGGGAGUAUGCUCGCAAGGGUGAA
rnacentral:rRNA from 1 species